CUCUUGGCGUGUGUCAGCUGUUUGUGACAUGACAUGGGUUUGAGACUCCUUCUUUCCCAGCGUGCCCCACAGGGGAAGUCUCUAGAGCCAGGCCCACCCGGGGACAGCAGAGCAGAGCCCUCCCUCUACCUCCAGGACCUAAAUUCUGCAGUAGGGCCAUCUGCCCUGACACCUUCCAAAAGGGUCAUGGUAGAAGAUAUGAAGCAGAAGUCUGCGAGGAUUUCAUCUUCCAACUUUGAGGACCAGGUAUCUGCCCACCCACUCCCAUUUCGCCUUGUCUUUGGUGGAAGCUGGGCUGCAUCUGGAGCUGGUGGGUCUGUGGCCGAAGAUCUGCCUUGUACAGCAGCAACAGGCUCCCCUCCUCUCCUCUUGCUUGCCUGAUGUGGUUGCACUCAACAUGCUUCUUAACUUUUGUAAAAUUCUACAGUGGAAUCUUCAGGACAAGGCCACUGAGUGGUCUCCUGGGUAUUUCCUGUUACUUCGACCAUCCCUCACUGGGCACUGGCCCACUCUGCCUUUAUUUCCAGGGAAUGUCCUCCUCAGUUGAUCAUGAAAACAAGCAAGGCAGGUGGCUGUUACCAUUAACUACAGUUCACAUGGGAGGAAGCUGAGCAACUUCCCUAAGAAAUUCAGCCAGGAAGUAGCAGAGAAAGGGGAUUGAACCCAGGUCUUUGGCCUUGAGCCCCUUUUUCCCUCUGGUCAAAACUGCAUUCCUGGAACUUAUGGCUGGUUAUGUUUCUGGGAAAGGCACUACAAGUUGAAAUGAUAAAGUCCCUGUCCUGAGCCUGCAGCUGGAAGGAAGAGUGGCCUGGCGCUGUUAUUUUUAGAAGAUGGAGGGCUGGGUGAAGAUUGCGGCCCAGGUCGGGGUCUGCUUCCCUUUAUGGGGGUGAUUUUUCCAUGGAGAUCCAGUGUUUCCUCUGGGCUCACUCAUGAGGAAGAUAACCCACUGCACUCUAGAAAAGGUGAUCUGGCGGACGGUGGCUUGCUACGUUGCCUUUUCUGGGUCCUGAUGACUCAUCUUACAACAGCCCUGCUAGAAGAGAGAUGCAAGGCUUUGAGACAAGAGUUCACCUGGCCACCGUCUUUACAAUCCCUAUACUCUAUUUUAAAUAUAAACAGAACCAAAACACAGGCCAACAAACGAAAAACUCCAAAAAGAACUUUGUCAUUUUUCUAAUUUUCCCCUUCAUCUCCUCUUUUAUAGAGUGCACUUGUCUGCCUAUUUUCCUAUCUCAUGUAUCUAUCAAUCCAUCUCCUAUCGUCUCUCUAUCAUCUACCCAUCCAUGCAGCUAUCUAAACUUGCAAUCUAAACUUGAUAGGAAAUCAGGGAAGCACAAAUGUCUCUCACCCCCACAUUGUCAGUGGGAAAACUACUCUCUUGUUAGCUGUGAAAAUAUCACUCCAUUGACCUUUUGACAGAUCUCUGGGCCUGAACCUAAUGACCCAGUUAUGUCCUAUUUUCUGUAGCCCUGAUGGGAAAAGGAGGUGGGUUAUGUAAAGAGAGAAAAAGAGGAUAGAUCCAUGAGAUUGUUCAGUUCCACUUCAGCGUCUAUGUGGAGAUGAGACCAAACCAUUCGUGACAGAAUGGAAUCAAUUGUUUUCUUCUCCAGAUUUCCCAGAAAAGUGAUCUCCUCCCAUAGUGGUCGAGCUGUUUGUUUUCUGGGACUGAGAUUUAGCAGGGUUUUGUUUGUUUGCUGGGUGAGGGCAACACGAGGGGAUGAGGUACCAUACCAAACUGAGCUUCUGAUGUAAUGUUAGCAAGCUGGAUUGCAUUCCCAUUUUACACUCUUCCACUGGUCUAGAGAAGACGCUUUAGGAAAUGAACACGUAGCUAGCAUGAGAGUUUAAUAAAAGGCUGAUGCUUCAUCUCUUGGCUUAAUCAUUUGAUUGCCAAGGAGGCUGUCUUUCCCUAUACCUUAUUCUCAGCUGAUAGCCUGGUGCCCUUGACUGUCCAAAACUGUUACAGGCCCAUAGUCCAAGACAAGAUUCUCAUGAGAAAAAGUGCAGGAGAGACAGGAAAUGGGACCCCAGGAGUCUGUUCUCAUGACAUGAAUUCAGUGGAAACAAUGGGAUGGGUCCGCUCUUUUCCAGUUUUUGGUUGACUUUCUUCUUUGAUGAUCUUUCUUUCUCCUGACCCUUCCGCCCACCCUGACCCUCUCCCAGGGAUGGGAAGCAGGAUAUUUUCAUAAAGCCUUUGUUCCUGGGAGGAGCUCAUGCUCUGUCUCGGGUCAAACUCUCCCUUCCCAUUCCAACUACUCAGGUGCCCAUGGACUUCCUGCAGGAACAUCUCCAGGAGUCCAGGCUUCCCUGCCCAUAUUUUAUCUGGAUGGGAGUAAGACACACCCGUCUAAUUCACGUAAAAUCUAAAUUGCUUUUUAAAAUGGCACAAAAUAAAAUAUUAAACACCAA